rnacentral:rRNA from 2 species
GCUUACACAUGCAAGUCGAACGAUGAAGGAGAGCUUGCUCUCUGGAUUAUGGCGAACGGGUGAGUAACACGUGAGCAACCUGCCCCUGACUCUGGGAUAAGCGCUGGAAACGGCGUCUAAUACUGGAUAUGAGCUCCUGCCGCAUGGUGGGGGUUGGAAAGAUUUUUUGGUUGGGGAUGGGCUCGCGGCCUAUCAGCUUGUUGGUGAGGUAAUGGCUCACCAAGGCGUCGACGGGUAGCCGGCCUGAGAGGGUGACCGGCCACACUGGGACUGAGACACGGCCCAAACUCCUACGGGAGGCAGCAGUGGGGAAUAUUGCACAAUGGGCGGAAGCCUGAUGCAGCAACGCCGCGUGAGGGAUGACGGCCUUCGGGUUGUAAACCUCUUUUAGCAGGGAAGAAGCGAAAGUGACGGUACCUGCAGAAAAAGCACCGGCUAACUACGUGCCAGCAGCCGCGGUAAUACGUAGGGUGCAAGCGUUAUCCGGAAUUAUUGGGCGUAAAGAGCUCGUAGGCGGUUUGUCGCGUCUGCUGUGAAAUCCCGAGGCUCAACCUCGGGUCUGCAGUGGGUACGGGCAGACUAGAGUGCGGUAGGGGAGAUUGGAAUUCCUGGUGUAGCGGUGGAAUGCGCAGAUAUCAGGAGGAACACCGAUGGCGAAGGCAGAUCUCUGGGCCGUAAC